AUUGAACGCUGGCGGCAGGCCUAACACAUGCAAGUCGAACGGUAACAGGAAACAGCUUGCUGUUUCGCUGACGAGUGGCGGACGGGUGAGUAAUGUCUGGGAAACUGCCUGAUGGAGGGGGAUAACUACUGGAAACGGUAGCUAAUACCGCAUAACGUCGCAAGACCAAAGAGGGGGACCCUCGGGCCUCUUGCCAUCGGAUGCGCCCAGAUGGGAUUAGCUUGUUGGUGGGGUAACGGCUCACCAAGGCGACGAUCCCUAGCUGGUCUGAGAGGAUGACAGGCAAAACUGAAAUUAGGAAAGGGUCCGACUUCUUACGGAGGGAGGCGGGGGGAAUAUUGCACAAUGGGCGCAAGCCUGAUGCAGCCAUGCCGCGUGUAUGAAGAAGGCCUUCGGGUUGUAAAGUACUUUCAGCGGGGAGGAAGGGAGUAAAGUUAAUACCUUUGCUCAUUGACGUUACCCGCAGAAGAAGCACCGGCUAACUCCGUG
rnacentral:rRNA from 1 species